AGUGAACGCUGGCGGUAGGCCUAACACAUGCAAGUCGAACGGCAGCACAGUAAGAGCUUGCUCUUACGGGUGGCGAGUGGCGGACGGGUGAAGAAUACAUCUGAAUCUACUUUUUCGUGGGGGAUAACGUAGGGAAACUUACGCUAAUACCGCAUACGACCUACGGGUGAAAGCAGGGGAUCUUCGGACCUUGCGCGAUUGAAUGAGCCGAUGUCGGAUUAGCUAGUUGGCGGGGUAAAGGCCCACCAAGGCGACGAUCCGUAGCUGGUCUGAGAGGAUGAUCAGCCACACUGGAACUGAGACACGGUCCAGACUCCUACGGGAGGCAGCAGUGGGGAAUAUUGGACAAUGGGCGCAAGCCUGAUCCAGCCAUACCGCGUGGGUGAAGAAGGCCUUCGGGUUGUAAAGCCCUUUUGUUGGGAAAGAAAAGCAGCAGGUUAAUACCCCGCUGUUCUGACGGUACCCAAAGAAUAAGCACCGGCUAACUUCGUG
rnacentral:rRNA from 1 species